CGCGUAGGCGGCCUUCUAAGUCAGACGUGAAAUCCCCAGGCUUAACUUGGGAACUGCGUCUGAUACUGGGAGGCUUGAGUGCGGGAGAGGGAUGUGGAAUUCCAGGUGUAGCGGUGAAAUGCGUAGAUAUCUGGAGGAACACCGGUGGCGAAGGCGGCAUCCUGGACCGACACUGACGCUGAGGCGCGAAAGCUAGGGAGCAAACG
rnacentral:rRNA from 1 species